GCCCUUAUAGUCUAGUGUAUGACACUUCAGUCCUAUAAACGUCAAUGUCCUGUACCUCUGACUGAGGAGGCGUGGGUUCAAAUCCCACUAAGGGUA
rnacentral:tRNA from 1 species